UACUUAUUCGCAAAUAUAAGCUCAUACUGUGUAAAAUAGCAACUCUACCCUUCUGCUCUAAUUGUUUUUUUUUCCAUCAGUCAUUGAAUUGGAUUAGCCACAAAUCAAUAAAUGCUUCAACUUUCAAAUUACACUCUUUGUUCUUUCAUGCAGAUAAACCUUUCUAUAGAAUGCACCAGGACUAAAGCAAGUGGUCAGUAAAAAUCCAUCAAUAAUAGGGAAGAUGUAAGUACUUGUCAUAGCAAACAGUAUUGGCACGGUGGUGGAUGAUGGUGCACCCCAAGGCACGGUUUUGGUUCCACUGAUAUCCUUUGAAAUUAUUAACUACAAUAAAACUAUAUGUUCUUAUAUCUUAUUCCUCAUCAGAAGACAUUGCUUCACUAUCAUCUUCAGACUCCUCAGAAUGGACUAUUUCUCCCUUGACAACACUUUUGGUGAAAAUUUGUGAAACUUCUUUUUGCUCAUAAACAAUAUCCGAUUUUUCAACUAAUUCCUCUGUCUCCCUACCGUCUGCAUCUCCAAAACCUAGCUUCCAUUCCGCAUGCUUAUUAUCUACAUUAUCAGGUUGAUAUGUGGCACCUGUUUCUAAUGGGGAUACCCAGAAGUCAUUAUUGGCAUUGAUGCUAAACAUGUCAUCCAGGCUAGUUUUGCCAUUAGUUUUCAGCAGCUCCUUUGAGUCCUUUACAAUAAAGAGAUUAGUGGCUUCAUGAACACUUUCAGGGGAUAUGUUUAGGGGCUCAUCCGUGGGUGACAAGGAAUCAUGCUCAACUUUGUCAUCUUGGUGAACAUUUUCUGUAGGAUUUUCAAGAACUUCCCAUUCAGUUGUUGCUAGAGCUUUAGAGAAUUCUGUAUCUAUUUCUUCAGGCACAAAGCUUUCUUCAGGUGUGAUAUCCCUCAUUUCCACAUUAUCGGGAGUCACUUCUUGAAUGGCAGAGGAUAGCAGAAGUUUGUUGAAAUCAUUUUCAUUGAUAAAUUGAUCCAUAUGUUCAGUUAGCGUAUCUUGAACAAUCGACUGCUUCUCUUCUGCUUGUUCUCCUAGGUUUUCAGGCUCUUUCUGUUCAAAGGACAAAUUGUCAAAAGACAACUCUUGACUUGUGGAAGACAAUACAAAUUCUUUCCUAACUUCACUAAUGUCCUCUGUAGUGUCACAAUGUGUCACCUUGGAUACAUCGUGCUUAACUUCCUCCU
ensembl:lncRNA